rnacentral:tRNA from 1 species
AGCCCCGUGGUGUAGUGGCCAAGCAUACAGGGCUUUGGACCCUGUGACGGGAGUUCGAAUCUCCCCGGGGCUA